GCCACGGUCGCAUAAUCUGGUAUUGCGCGGGAUUGCUAAUUCCGUUUCCGCAAGGAUAUCCCGGUUCAAAUCCGGGCCGUGGCG
rnacentral:tRNA from 1 species